UCUCCGUAGGUGAACCUGCGGAGGGAUCAUUACCGAGUGAGGGCCCCCGGCCCGACCUCCAACCCUUUGUGUUUCUGACUGUGUUGCCUCGGGGGCGACCCUGCCGUUUCGACGGCGAGCGCCCCCGGAGGCCUUCAAACACUGCAUCUUUGCGUCGGAGUUUAAGUAAAUUAAACAAAACUUUCAACAACGGAUCUCUUGGUUCUGGCAUCGAUGAAGAACGCAGC
rnacentral:misc_RNA from 1 species